ACACUAGUGAGAGGGAUCAUGUUUCAAAUGCACAUUUUCUAAACAGACAGAUAUUAUUCCAUUAAGGAGCAUUUUCCACAAUGGAUAUUGUUCCAUUAAUGAACGCAACAACACUAAGAGGGAUCAUGUUUCAAAUGCACACUUUCUAUACAGACAGAUAUUACUCCAUUAAGGAGCACAAUAAAUGUGUAUGUGUCAUUCAAUAUGACAUGAGAAGUCAGCUAUAUUGUCGGUGGAGAGCUUCAGCGCUAAACCUCCAUUAUUAGCACCGUGAAGGGUUUCCAUUGUCUUGUCAGUUGAUAUCCUUUUGAAGUUUCUUGUAGAAACUGGCCUCAAAUGUGCACACUCAAGGAAACUAAUUUGAGUAAGAUCUGAUAUUUAAUUCAGUGAGCUGUGGGUGGAGUAAAGAACCGAAUGACCCAUUACGACAAGUGACUACUCACACAUCUUUGGACUGCAUGUGAUAAACGGAAACCACCAGACCCCUCGUACGUCUUAAGGCCUUGUUGUACUAAAAGACGCACCGUCAAUCAACAAAAAGACACACGUAUCGUUCAAGAACAUACGGUGCAUGAGUGAGUCCCUACAAGCAUAUACACGGCAUGAGAUCACCCAAUCGCCAUGUCCUGGAGGCGAAAGGAAAGCGGUGAAUGUUCUCCAUCGCAGGGAUUGUGGGUGGCAUCAAAUCCAGGGAUCGCAUCCGCGAGGAAAACUACGAAUUUAUCUCGUGCCUUUGCCGAAUUAUUGAACGC
rnacentral:lncRNA from 1 species